rnacentral:tRNA from 1 species
CCUAAUGUGGUGUAGUGGUCAAGCAUUCCCAGGUAUUACAUGGCGACGCCCACUGCGCCGAACCGUGCCUGAAAGGGGGGGAGUCCCAGUUUCGAUUCCUGGUAUUAGGA